UCUCCUCCUCCUGCAGGUUGGUUCCUCUGGUUCUCUGGUUAAAGACUCUUUAUGACUUUAGUUCAGUUAAAAUCUGAAGAAAUUCGACUUUAACUCGACCAACGGUCCUCAAACGUCUCACUGAGGGUCCGGAGGGUCCCCCAACAGGUCCGGAGUCCGUGACCCAAACAACUACAGGUUGGACUCUGCUAUGGAUCAGUGUGAGGACACGGAGGAUGGGGUCCGUCCCUCUAAAACUGAGGACCAGGACAGCCGGACAGAAGCUGUCAGGAUCCAUCAGAGACCAGAACCUCCUGAACCUGCAGCCAGCUGUGUGUCCUUCAGAAGUGACCAGUCAAGAGAUUUCAUUCUUGAUUUUAAACAGACACAUCUAUCUGCUG